UUUGACAUUUAAUUACAAUCCUCCGAGGUUCUGAGUAUGUUUUUUAGGAAAUUUAGUUUUACAUAGAACAGUAAUAUGCUUUGUUAUAGUUAAAACAAUUUAAUUUAAAUUUGCAGCUGAAAACCAGGAACCUGAUUCCUCAUCAAAUGGAGACAAAUCUUCGGGCCAGACAUUUCUCGGCACCGUCUCAUCUCCAGGGCAGAACAUCUUCAAUGUAACAGCAACUCCCUCCGCAGAUCAUAAACAGCCAAUGCCAAGGAAGCGGCGAAAUGAUAGUGCUCAAGUGGCAGCUUUGAGAGAGAAGCUCUUACAGAAGAA